UCCUGGUCCCACUCAGAGGGGCCUAUCUCCGAAAUGUCCUUUUAAUAGCUUGUGACACUAAUAGAGUGAUAGGGAUUCUGGACAUGAAUAGGAUGCAUGUGAUCCACGCUGGGAGCUGUUGCCAUUAACAUAUUCUGAAGGCUCUGCUGUGGGAGAAACUGCUCCGGACCCAGCCCUGCUCUGCCCACUGCUGACUGCUGUCCUGUUAGGAUGGUGAUCCGGUGUGAUCCUGGCCACAGUGAUCCGGUGUGAUCCUGGCCCUGGUGAUCCAGUCCUUCCUCUCCAUCACACUCAGAUGAGAGACAUCUUGGCUUUUCAUUUACCUAUGCAACACGAUUUGAAAUCUGGUUUUGCAACGAGAUGGUGCUACCCUCUCUAAUCAAAGAUCAGGACUUCUGCUCCCAAGCCUGCUGUUGCUUUGCUGUGUGAAGAGCUGUUUAUCAUCUGGGCACAGUACUGUCCCAUCGAAGAAACAGCUUUUCCACAUUCAGCCCCAUUUAAUGAACGCAAGUUUUGCAAGAUCCAGCUUCAAAGGCAGACCACUGGCAAAGGAAGGGGAAGGGAAUUGACUGAUGUGGAAAAUCGCACACUCUAGGCUUUUUGCACUGAUUGAAAGGUGUUAACCCCUGCCUGGCCAGCAGCAGUGUCUGGGGGGGAGCAAAACACCCUGGUGUAAUAGGGCAAGGGCUGGAUGAGUCCAAACUGUUUUCUUGCAGAAAAAUAGGAUUUUGAAACAUUCGUCUCCCAGUCACUUUUUAUGGAUUGUUUCCAUUUUUGUGAACAAAGGCAAACACGCUAAGAGGAAAAUGGUUUUAACCGUUCAGCUUCACUUUGAAUGUUUCAGAGAAAAAAAAAAGAAAAAGAAAAAGAAAAGAAACCUGAAGACAUAACCCUGGAGGUUUCUUUUACUUAAAACUUUGGAUUGCUCUAUUUGGAGUCCGAAAAAGAUUAUGCAACAAAAAUCAGCAGUUUGCACACAAGGAGAAAAGACACUCAUGCUCAGCUCAGUUAGCACACUUACUCAUUAAUCAUUUUUUGCCACAGCAUUUUAGGGAAACAUAUGCAAUACUUCUCUUAGGAUACGUGU